rnacentral:lncRNA from 1 species
UGGGGCCAUGGCCUGGGCUGAUGGAGACCUUGAGGUGGAAUCAGCCUGCACUGCGCAAUGUGACCGGCAGGGAUCGCCAAACCGCCUUUUCUGCCCCCCAUGUGGUAUGCAUGCGUGUUCUCUGCGCAGAUGCAGCGUGGUAUGUGUGGUGUGCGUGGUGUGCAUGGUGUCAGUGGUGUGAUGUGCAGCGUGGCGUCUGUACUGUGGAGAAGUAGCGCUCCAGUUCCCUGAGGACUCUCCGGCACUGCAGCAGGUUCGGGACGACUUGUGGCUGCGCCCUGGGGAAGAAACAGCUCCUGUCAGUAGCUGACUGCUGAAGACGGAACUUCGGUGUGGCUUCUUCGUGUUGCGGGUUUCUCCCGGGCGUUUUUUCCUUCAUGGCACCUGGGACAGAGGAACCACCUGCAGGCCCCACAGCCCCAGUUGAGGAGGCGUGGUGAGAAGGGGACUCGGUGUUCUGCAGCUUACCAUUACCUCUGUGGCCCAUCCAUGGAAUCUGUGAAGAGAGACAGAGUUCCUCCGUGUUGCCCAAGGUGGUCUUGAAUUCCUGGACUCAGGUGAUCCACCUGCUUUGGCCUCCCAAAGUGCUGGGAUUACAGGUAUGAGCCACUGCACCAUUUUUUUAAAAUUACAUAUUAUUUAUAUCUUUUUAUAUAGUUAAAAAACUAUCCCAUCAAAAUUCUAUGCACAUAUUUAUUAGGCCCUUAGAAGUUUCUGUGGGACAAUUGUGUUGAUUCAAACACACACACACACACACACACACACACACACACACACACAAAUUGAGUAUAUUUAAGGAGAAAUGCAGCAAGAAUGUCUCCAUCCAAGGCCACUGUUUUUAGGAGAGCAGGCUUUCUGGGGCAUCUGAAGCCUCAGAGAGCCUGGUGUCUGUCCCCAGAGGUGCCUAAAUAAUUGAAUGAUGGACCACUGAG